AAGGUUUUAAGUUAAACUUAAACUAAUAAUCUUCAAAAUUAUAUAUAAAGAAAUAUUCUUUAAGCCUUA
rnacentral:tRNA from 1 species